GUUUUAUUGAUCGCAGGUGGAUAGAUGAACGGGGCGAUCGUGGAUUGGGCAGUAUGAAGAGAAGGAGGAGUAUAAAGAGGGCCUCAGAAACUGCAGAGGAGGGAAAAAGUUCUUUGUUUUAUUUCAGCCGAUACGGCGAGAGAGUUGGAGUGUUUGGGCGAGUACAGAGGAAAGAAGGCAGAGGAUAUUGUUGGCUGGGCAAAGACGGAGACAAGGGUUUGGCAGAAACAGACACCGGGCUGAGUAUAUUGGAAUGUCUACUUAACUGUGAAAUGCUCCAUGGACAUGUGUAACAAAUUCUGAGUGGUUGAAAACAGGAAGACUCACCGGAAGUAUCGCCGAAGGAGGCCUUUUUGACAGGGCACGUGGCAGCAGGAGAAGUAUCCAGGAGCUGGAAAGAAGAGGGAAAAGAGACCUCGUGUAGUAACGGUGUGAGUACCCUAAACCAUCGUACAGCAGUAUAAUCAUCUAGAGUGAACCAUCUGUGAGCGUUUUGUGAGUUUGUGGCAUAGUAUGUGAGCGGCCCCACCGUGGAGGAGGAUUGAGGGUGAGCCGGGACCAGUGAGCGAGAGAGGAUGUUGGGCUGUUGUGGCGGCAACGUUUAAAUCUGAAUAUUCGUGGCAUCAGUGUCUUCACGACUUCCAGGAAGAGUCUUUGGUCAGACGGGGUGUUGACCCUAAAUUCACCAGAGUGUGUGGAGUGCAGUGGGUGAGUCUUUGUCCUUUGCUGUGAGUGUAUACACUUGAAAAUUGCAGUGUUGUGCUGUGUUGUGUCGUCAACAACCACCUUUCAGGCCCGACGAAAUCCUGUGAAGGAAGUGAAUACCGAGGCGGGCGAAGAAAACAUCUCCAAUUAUAUGCCGUCGAUGACAUCCUGACCCUUCUUCCCCACGUGACGGUGGUGGGAAACAAUUUCAAGUAAGAACAGUGUGGAUCUAUUGGGAAGUAUUAAUGGUGAGGAGUUGGCUGCUGUAGGAGGAAAUCAGCUGUGCGUGUAUUGUUACCUGCUGUGGAGUUCUUCAAAGGUUCGUCCCUGUCUAGAUCUCUUGACUUGUCGGUUGGUAGAAAGAAGAGGGAAGCGUUCGACCCAUCCAGUGUAGUACACCCCGGGUGAGACAACUUACCUGUGUGUGACGCCAGCGGAGGCCGUGUUCGGCCCAACGCAACAGUUUUCGAUCCGCCUCUCUGUCAGCAGUUGGUAGAAGCCUCAGAAAAGGAACGUCUGACGUCUAUUCCCUCGAAGGUCUGUGAGUUACAUCACUUCCUGUUUCCCUGUAUAUUCACCGUAAGCGUAUGCCCAAAGCUAAAGCCAGCAUAUUGUGUUGUACACUCGCCUGUAUGCCCAGAGUGAAGUCCCAGUUAUAUUGGAUGUACUUACCUUAUGCCCAAAGCUAAAGCCAGCAUAUUGUGUUGUACACUCGCCUGUCUGCCCAGAGUGAAGUCCCAGUUGUAUUGGAUGUACUUACCUUAUGCCCAAAGCUAAAGCCAACAUAUUGUGUUGUACACUCGCCUGUAUGCUCAAGUGAAACCCCAGUUGUCUUUCCUACGGACUUACUUGUGCCCCCGAGUGAAGAGCCAGCGGCCCCUCUGUCCACUAUCCGUGUCCAGUCCUGUUACACUUACCUUUAUGCUCUUGUGCAGAUCUAGCGGGUCCCUUUGAAGCGUCUACCUGCAUGUCGACUCGUCACUCAGGAUACAGAGACCGUGGAAACCCCCUCCCGUACACUUACCAGUACGGUUUUAGUUGGAUCCCGGCAGCCCUUGGGCAGUUCCCCCAGCAUCUGGACGACCGGGAGUAUAAUCCGCUGGGUCGCCUCGGAGUUCGUCAAAAGUAGCAGCAGGUAUCCAUUGUGCAUCCAAACUCUCAAUACUUACCACUUGUAUCUGUUACGUCCAG
ensembl:lncRNA